UACGAAGGGGGCUAGCGUUGCUCGGAAUCACUGGGCGUAAAGCGCACGUAGGCGGCUUUUUAAGUCAGGGGUGAAAUCCUGGAGCUUAAUUCCAGAACUGCCUUUGAUACUGAAGAGCUAGAGUCCGGAAGAGGUGAGUGGAACUGCGAGUGUAGAGGUGAAAUUCGUAGAUAUUCGCAAGAACACCAGUGGCGAAGGCGGCUCACUGGUCCGGUACUGACGCUGAGGUGCGAAAGCGUGGGGAGCAAACAGG
rnacentral:rRNA from 1 species